rnacentral:rRNA from 1 species
AAGGAGGCAGCAGUGAGGAAUCUUCCGCAAUGGACGAAAGUCUGACGGAGCAACGCCGCGUGAGUGACGAAGGCCUUCGGGUUGUAAAGCUCUGUUGUCGGGGAAGAACACAUCGUAUGUGAAUAAUGUGCGGUGUUGACGGUACCUGACGAGGAAGCCACGGCUAACUACGUGCCAGCAGCCGCGGUAAUACGUAGGUGGCGAGCGUUGUCCGGAAUUAUUGGGCGUAAAGCGCGCGCAGGCGGGAAAGUAAGUCUACUCUAAAAGUGCGGGGCUCAACCCCGUGAUGGGGUGGAAACUGCUUUUCUUGAGUGCCGGAGAGGAAAGUGGAAUUCCCAGUGUAGCGGUGAAAUGCGUAGAUAUUGGGAGGAACACCAGUGGCGAAGGCGACUUUCUGGACGGUGUCUGACGCUGAGGCGCGAAAGCCAGGGGAGCGAACGGGAUUAGAUACCCCAGUAGUCG